UGCGUAGGCGGAAUAUUAAGUCAGUGGUGAAAUCCUGCGGCUCAACCGUAGAACUGCCAUUGAUACUGAUAUUCUUGAAUGUAGUUGAGGUAGGCGGAAUGUGUAAUGUAGCGGUGAAAUGCUUAGAUAUUACACAGAACACCGGUUGCGAAGGCAGCUUACUAAACUAUGAUUGACGCUGAGGCACGAAAGCGUGGGGAGCGAACAGGAUUAGAUACCCUGGUAGUCC
rnacentral:rRNA from 1 species